AAUAGGUGGCUGUGAAUAAGUGGCUGAAAUGAUGUCCACCAGGUGGCGCGAAUCUCUUCGGGGACGCUUAUCGGCCAUUUUGAUCCAAGACGCAGCAGAAGUGGGUUGUUGGUUGUGACGUUUCUCACGAUGAAAAUUAUAAGGUGAUUUAGCAUGUAGAAACCAAUUUGCCAAAUCAUUCAACUCAAGACUUGGGAAGUGCCUGUACAUUUCCGAAAUGGCGUGCCUCGUGUGUCUCGCUGCCUGUUCUUUGGCUUACGUCUCACCCCAAUCAACAGUAAAAAGUAAAAGAAAUGCUGGUGGUUACCUUGUUUCAGCCAAAUGGUGAAAGGUGUGACAAAGACAGAUUGAACCGUUGUUGUAUGCUGAAUGUGAUUGCAGUGUAAUCCAGAAGUUGCUGUGCUGUUGUAGCUGUUCCAUCUGGGUUCCUGACUUCACAAUUUUU